GCAGUUAACCCACCGAUUUCCGAUUGUUAUGAAAACUUGAAAUUGUCCCUAAUUAAUCGGCCAUUCCGAUUAAUCGGUCGACCUCUAGUUGCAACUCAAUAUUAGGAAGGUGUUCCUAAUGUUUGGAAUACUCCGUGUAUAAGGCAUAUUUAAGCCUAAAAAGUAUGUUACAUAUUAUGCUUAACUGUGUAGGUUAUAUAAUGUUCACAAAUUCCUAUUUCAUUACUUCUGAUAAACUGAAAAAUAUUUUAUAGUUAAUCAAGUUCAUCCAGAUGUUUAGUUGAGAUAGUACAUUUGACAUUUUAGUAAUUUAGUAGACACUCAUUGUAAUCCCUCAAUAAAGUAGGUAUCUGCAAAGUCAGUGCUAGUAGGAAAAGAGAAAAGACAUGGGAUGCAUUUAAGAUACUCUGUCCUGGGUUGCCAGGACCGAGAAGAGCUUUGACUGGGCUGAGCUUGAGUUGACCUACCUGUAGGCGUGGGACUGCCAAGAGACCAAAGGUGGCAGAACGGAGUACUCUGGUUGGGGUGUAGGGUUUGAGCAUAGCCUGAAGGUAGGGAGGGGCAAAUCCCUGUGCUGCUCCGUAGGCAAGCACCUUGGUCUUAUAGUGGAUGUGAGCUUUGAUUUGAAGCCAGUGGAGUGUGCGGAGGAACGGGGUGCGGAGGAGAGGGGUGAAACGGGAGAACUUAGGAAGGUUGAACACCAAACGGGCUGCAGCGUUCUAGAUACGUUGCAGGGCUUUUUUAAUGUAUUUUUUAUUUUACCUUUAUUUAACUAGGCAAGUCAGUUAAGAACCAAUUCUUAUUUUCAAUGACGGCCAUCAGCUUUGAUUUGUACCUUGUCAGCUCUGGGAUUUGAACUUGCAACCUUCCGGUUACUAGUCCAACGCUCUAACCACUAGGCUACCCUGCCGCCCCUGGGCUCCCCGCUUGAUGGCACAGGCGGGGAGCCCAGCCAACAGAGAGUUGCAGUAGUCUAGAUGGGAGAUGAAAAGAGCCUGGAUUAGGACCUGCGACACUUCCUGUGUGAGGUAGGGUUGUAGUCUACGGAUGUUGUAGAGCAGGAACCUGCAGGAGCGAGUCACUGCUUUGAUGUUUGCAGAGAAUGACAGGGUGUUGUCCAGGGUUACGCCAAGGUUCUUUGCACUCUGGGAGGGGGACACCGUGGAGUUAUCAUCCAUGAUGAAGAGGUCUUGGAGCAGGCAGGCUUUCCCAGAGAGGAAGAGCAGCUCCGUCUUGUCGAGGUUGUGGGCCAACAUACAAGCUGAGAUGUUUGCCAGGAGGAGGAGGGUCCAGAGCAGAUGCGGGUGUGAGGAGGGUCUUGGGGAACAUGGUCAUGGAGGUCAACAGGACUUCAAUCAAGUACAGACUGAAUGAACAACAGAGACAGAAUGCAAUAUGACAUUUCAUUAAAUUGUUUGGGGAAUGGUCUCGUCACCAAGGGAAGAUCCUCUGAGCCAGAUGAUGUUAUGGCUGGUAGCCCUAUGCAGGGCUGCUGGCAAUUUCCUACUUUGAGACUCUUUGUGGAUACGGCGCCUGGUCUUUAUUCAUUUUGUCUUAAGUGUGGGACCAUGCCUUUGAAUUUUCAAACCAUUAAAAAGUGUCAGGUGGUUGGCUGGAGGCUAACAGAGGAGACUGGGAGGCCAUCUUGGAUUCCCAGACCCAAACCAGUGGAGCCAAGGUCCCACUGGACAUCAUCACUGAGCAGGCCAGGAUCAGAGGCGACAUAGUGGAGGUCAGUCGAUGGGACAGCGUCCUCAACACUGGGCUGGGGAACAACAAUUUUAAAUAACCAGAAACACAGUUGUGCAAGAAUCCACACUUGGACUUGGUCUCUAUGACAACAGACUGGCUGAGACCUGGGAGAGGCAUAGAUUUGGUCUGCGGGGACGGGGAGGUGUCCAUAUGCGGCAGGAGAGAACAGGCACAGAUUCGGCUACUGAUGCUCCAUCCUGUUCCUAUGUUUGUGAUUUAGAGAGAUUGAUGGUGCCUCAGGUUAACCCACUAACAGGUGCUGCCUUCAGCCUGCCUUCUAUAGGAUCUAUCAACUGGAAUAUGGACCCUGCAACAGACACUUCCUGGCCUUCCUCCUCCUCACAGUCUCCUUAUGUUAAACCAGACCUCAGGCAAUGCCAGUGCCUCAACGGCUACACAAGCCCAUUGACAAAUGACAGUAUUAGUAAUGCUAUCAGCAGAUCUGGUAGCAGAGAGAAGUGCUUCCCGUGUUCGGAGGAUGCGCACGUGGCAGAAACCAUUCAGCUGUCAUCUUUGCCGGGCAAAGUUUCUCCCAGUUGUCCAACCUGAAGAGGCACCAGAUGGUCCACACUGGGGAGAAGCCUUACAGCGGUCCCCAGUGUGAGAAGAGGUUCUCCUGCCAGCACCGACUGUACGCACUGCGGGAAGAGGUUAUCAGAGAGGAGCUACCUCGGGAUACACCAGCAGAAAAUGGAUGGGUGUUCACCACAAGAGACAUGUAACACAGCAUACAAUCCCCAAAACAAUGGCUAGUGGGCAAGGAGGGAGCUCAAAGACAGGCUCAUGCCUUCUACCACCUCUGGUGUUUUUGGGUCACAACGUGGGAGGCUGAGUGUUCAGACUAAAGCCGAAAAGCUGUAUGCCUGCCCCACGUAUGGGAAGCGAUUUGCUGAGGCGAACUACAGUGGGGCAAAAAAGUAUUUAGUCAGCCACCAAUUGUGCAAGUUCUCCCACUUAAAAAGAUGAGGCCUGUAAUGUUCAUCAUAGGUACACUUCAACUAUGACAGACAAAAUGAGGGGAAAAAAAUCCUGAAAAUCACAUUGUAGGAUUUUUAAUGAAUUAUAUCCCACCUCGUGACGUAACACUGCCUGGCUGGGGAGCUUUGUGCACUACUCUGCGCACAGGCAUAAAAGUUUGUCUUAUUUACUAUAAAGUCUACAAAGUGAGACUUUUUUCCUUGUGUUUCUUGGUUAUUUACAUUGUUUUGUUUUUACUUGUUUUUCAAUGUUAGUUUGAGUCUGCUGUUUGUACACAAUAAAUGAAAGAGGGAUUGGGUA